rnacentral:snRNA from 1 species
AUCACUUCUCAGCCUUUUGGCUAAGAUCAAGUGUAGUAUCAAACUGCUUAUGACAUAAGAAAAUCAAUAAAGUGACUUUUAAGAAAUAAGUAGUUGCUGUGACCGCUGUUUGCAAAGUUAGAUAAUAUGAACCACAAAUUCAUGCAUUUUUUUAUCCUCU